GCUUUUAUAAUUUAAUAUAAAAUAUUGGUCUUGUAAACCAAACAUAAGUUUAACUUUAAAAGCA
rnacentral:tRNA from 2 species